rnacentral:rRNA from 1 species
CAGCAGCCGCGGUAAUACGGAGGGUGCAAGCGUUAUCCGGAUUCACUGGGUUUAAAGGGUGCGUAGGUGGGUUGGUAAGUCAGUGGUGAAAUCUCCGAGCUUAACUUGGAAACUGCCAUUGAUACUGUUGGUCUUGAGUACAGUUGCUGUGGGCGGAAUAUGACAUGUAGUGGUGAAAUACAUAGAGAUGUCAUAGAACACCGAUUGCGAAGGCAGCUCACAAAGCUGUAACUGACACUGAGGCUCGAAAGUGCGGGGAUCAAACAGGAUUAGAUACCCUGGUAGUCCGCACCGUAAACGAUGAUUACUCGCUGCUAGAUGGCAACAUUUAGUGGCUUAGCGAAAGCGAUAAGUAAUCCACCUGGGGAGUACGCCGGCAACGGUGAAACUCAAAGGAAUUGACGG